GGGAGGCCGGGGGGAGGCGGGGGCGCCGGAGCUGGGCUGCCUCUUACCUAUCAGGUAAGACUGACCCACGGGAGGGAGGUUUCUAGUCAAGGCUGUUUCCCCCAGGAAAUUUAAAAGCUAGAUUUCGGCUUCAGGGCGAUAGGCCAUGGUGAGGGGAUCUGUGUUUUUGUAAGGUUUUUCUAAAGGACUUCUGGGCCAGCCUUCCACCUUGGGAUCCCCAGAUUUGCUGCCGUGAGGUACCUGGAAGGAACAGAGGGACGCCCAAGGGCAGUGACUGGGGGCAGUUAUGGUCACUGCAAAAGGAGAACAGGGAUCCCCAGGAAGUGUCUCACGUCCGGCGCUGUGGAAUUAGCUGCUGAUCAAGUAGAGAGAAAAUGUAAAUAUCACCUUUUCUCCUGCUCCCCUUGCCCAUCCGAGUGAUGGGGGGACUCACACCUAAGGCUGAGGGCAUGGGGGAGGGGAAAUGAGAGGUCCCUUAUCAUAUUCCGAAGUCUAUCCGUGACUCUAAAAAGCUGUUAGGGACCUUCAGAGGGUUCAUAAGGCCAAAACCCUACUGUGCAAAUAUUGGCUGAAAUGUUUGUUUCACACACAGCUCCCACACCCAUUGAACCACCCUAUAAAUUUUUAACCUUGACCACAAGGAUAAUAGGGAGAAAACAAGGAUGGUGCCAGCUCAACUGUACAGGAAAAUGGGUACUUCAUGAGUGGACCAGAUCAGCAGCCUGGGUCUACUUGAAGCGCCCCUUUCAGGGUCACCUUGCGGUAUCAGUCUCCCCACAAACAAACGCUCCCCAAAGUUUUUUUAUUUUUUAAGCUGACCUAUAAACAAGCAGUUUGUCCCUGCUUGCUCGCCUGGCACUAAGGACCCACAGAGAUGUCACUCGGUUUAAUGCUGUCUCAUUUUGAUGCCUGGCCCGUUUGGGGUUGCCGCCCCUUUACUACGCCGGGACCCUUCUCGGUCUCAGGCUCCCAGGCACUGCAGGAUGCUGGCAGGGCACUCAGCAGUCGAGGCGCUGGGCAUGCUCAGUGACCGGGACCCGCCGGGCCGCGGGGGAGCGCGCCUCGGCCCAAUGCGGACUGAGGGGCGGAGCGAGUUUCCCGGGGAGGCCUGCUGAUUGGUGAGAUGGCCUGUUUUUCAAGCCUUGCACUGCAGAGGGAAGGUGGGGGUAGAAGGGUUGAGGGUACCAAGGUAGGUUGCAAAGCGUAGUAAAAAAAGAAAAAGAAGAAGAUGAUGAUGAUGAAGGAGAAGAAGAACCAUAGGCGCCAUUCAGAGGCGUGCGAUACGUAAAUUAGGGGGAUUGGGCAUCUGCAGAGGGGCUCCUCCCCACCCAAGCCUGGGAGCCUCUCGUUUCUCCUCUCCCUUUCCUGUUCCCGGUCGUCAUGCAGCCUCAUCUAAACCUGGUUAAUCUAUAAUUUGAGUACACAUGUUGAGUUGAAAGCCCUCCCUUCUUUUCCUCUGACAGCUUGGUGAUGUGGGCACACGUGCCCACUACAGCAAGGCUAUUAAUAGCAGAUAUUUGGAAAUGGAAGCGAGGCGGCACUCACAGUGACCGAAAUUCUGGGGGUAUAGAGUGCCUUAUAGGGGGUAGGGCAGGGAGGUGCAGAAUAAAGAAGCCUGAAGUUGGUGGAAAAGUGUAACUGUGUGCCUGAUUUUACCCUAGACAAGAAAAAAGAGAGAUUAUAAAAGGGUUGUUUACUAGUAACAUUGUAAUCCAGAUAAGGCCAAAGGGCUUUUUACAGGUUUGAUGUUUAGCUCUGGGAUGGGGGUAGUGGAGUACUUAACAUUUUGUAAGAUAACAAAUCAAAUCCAUAGACAUUUACUUUUCAAAUGGCCCUGUCCCUACCUCCGUCCCUCCACCCCCCACCCCCCAAAAAAAAGCUAAAUAAAGGUACCAUACCUCUAUGGGGGAAAAAAUACUCUUUUCUGGAAGGAGGGGAGGGUUGGAAAAUUUAUUUGCACGUACUUUACAAUUAUCUUCAUAGGAAGGAUUUUGAUCAUAAAAAGCUAAUUAUGAUAAUAAACCUCUUAAGAAAUAUAUAUCUCAGUGUUAAAGCAUUUCUGCUUUAAAAAACACAAUUUUAGUUGCUAAAUAUUCGAUAAAAAUUAUGAAAUAAGCCUCACUACUGUGACAAAUUAUGUUCAGACCAAUGGGGUUUCCUAUGGAAGAUAAUCACUGAUCAUAGGAUAUUAGUUCCAUUUUUUCUACUUGCUGAUGUUUUACUACCAAUUUAAAGGUGGUUAAUAUUUGUUAUAAUUAUACUACAGUAAAUUCAAUUGUUCUCUACAAUUGUUUUAUUAAUGGGCUAACUGGAAAUGCAUUUACAUUUGGUUCAUGUAAUAUAUAGAAUAGAAAGAGACGCGUUUGUGGGAACUCACUGAAGUAAUGCUGAGCAGGUAUGGGUAUUAUUCUGUCACCUAAGCUAAAUUAGUCUUUUGGUGUAUCGUAAUGAAAUACACUGUAUGAAAAAUUUACUCCCUACUGAAAAUUCACGGAACAGAAGAACAAGCUAUUACCAAAAUCUGUUGCUCAAUGCUGCCAUCUAUAGGAGAGUUAGAGCCGAUUUGUGUAAUAUGCUAAGGUUCAUUUUAAAAGAGGGCUAAAAUAGUGAUUCAUCACAACAUUGCAACAGCUACGUUGAUGUCACUAAUACAGUCCUAAUUCAAGGAGUUAAGGGUUUACAUGCUAUGGAUGCACUUUGGGGCAAUGGGUCUACAACUAGCUUUAAAAUUGAAUUAUUGGUUUAUGUAUGAUACUAUCAGGAAAAUAAUGCAAAAUUUAUAGAUUAUUACAUAUAUCUGUAAAGUGCUUGAGUUGGGUGGAUGUAAAACUAAACAUUUCAAAAUUAUAAAACACUUUUUGUAUCAAAACAUGUUUUCCUUAAGAUAUAUGGUCAAACUGGAGGAGCUAUUUAAAUACUGGCAUCUCUUAGAAUUAAUUUUGACAAUUUAGAACAGUGCUUGAAGGACAAUUGAAUGUGGAUUUUCUCACUUUAAGAUCUGUUUUUAUUUUAAGAUGGCUCAAUAGUAAUAAGCAUUUGAAUGCCUACUCUGCAAGGCAGUAUGAAAUAUAUAAAAAGACAGCUUCUUACAGCUUUGAUGGGGUAAUAAGAGAGUACAAAAUAACAAUAGUUGAUGACUAAAAUGUGUGUGUGUGAGAGAGAGAAAGAGAGAGAUGUCAAAUAACAAACAAGUGGUAUUUACUUUCAUGAUGGAUGAAAUAACUACUUAAUUUUUACAGAAGAGAGGAGCCUUAAGCUUGAACUUGAAAUGGGCUAUAACUCAGAUAAAUGGCAAUUAUUUUUUCCCACUCAAGUUUUUUGGAACUUCUACUUGUGUUAGGCACUAGGCUGGACACUGAGGAUUUAGAUAUCAAAGACAUGCUGCCCACAGGAAACUUACAUUGAAAAUGGCAGAUGGACACAAUUGCAGAGCACUAUAAUCUCUUUUGUGGAAAAAAUAGGCACAGGGCAAAUGAGAUCACAUAACAACCAAUUGCCUUCUGACAUAAACAUUAUCAGUUACAGACAGUGCAAUUUGGGAAUCUGAAAGAUGCCUCUUCCCUUAAAUACUUUGUUUUCUCAAGUAAUUAAAAUCUUUCAUCUGUUUAAUUUAAAAAAUAUAUAAAAUAGGCCAAUUAAAAGUGAGCUGAAAAGUCACACUUGGCUUGUAAAUCAGCUAGAUCAGAGCUUCUCCAACCUGAGGAUCUUGUUAAAAUGCAGGUUCUGGUUAAAUGCAGAAGGUCAAGGGCAGUCUGAGGCAUUGCAUUUUUAACAUACUCUAGGUGAUGCUGAUUCUGCUGGGUGAGUAGCAUAGUUCUAAUGACUGAUGAUUAAUUGAAAGAUAAUUAAUUUGGUGCUGUGACAUGCAAGCAAGGCACUUAUACUUUAGUAUUAUAUACAUAUACAAAGAGAACAACAGCAAGAAAAAUCCUACUUAACUGAGGCUUCAUUGUAUUUGGGCUCCUCUCUUUUCAAUCACAGGCAUCAAAUCUUUCUGGUAAGCAUGAAGAGUUAUUAUCAAACAGUUGUGUUAGUGUUUUCCAAGGUGUAAUUAAAAAUAGAGAUUUCUUACCUCAUCCCAGUCCUACUGAACCAAAAUCUCUUAGGGAAGGAUGGGCCCCCCAGCAUUUGCAGUUUAAGCAGCAUUACAAGAGAUUAUUAUUUACAUUAAAAUUUAAGAAUCAUUGGCUUAAACACAAACAAAAACAUGUAAUUAUAUUCUUCCAGAAUUGGCAAAUGCACAGCCUUAACCAGUCAACAAACAUCUUCACCUGUGGGCUGUUUACUACAGCUGGGUGAAGCAGGGAAUGACCCAAACCUGCAUGAGUCUCCCAAUAAGAAAUGAUUUUUCCUUUGAAGAAAAUCAAUUACUGGCAAUCAGCUAGUGAGAAUCCAGUUCUGCUCUCCUCUUGAUUUCAUCCCUCAUCUCUUCUAGAUAACUGAGGGAAAAUGAAUGCACCAAGAACUAACAUGGGAUUUUGGAAAGAUAGUAAUGCCCUCAACAGAUGAUUUCAAAACAUUUGCUGUUUGGGGAGCAAAUAAAGCAUGAAAUAAACAGAUGGAUGAGGUUGGAAGAAAGGAGAGAGGAAAUUAAAAUUUUAAGGGCUAAUUCCCCUUCAUUCAAGAAAUAUUUACUAUGAUGAAGACAUGUUCCAUGCAGAGGAAAUGGCCAAUGCAAAGAGCCCCUGACUGGAGGGCAUUUGGCACAUUCUAGGAGAGUGAGGAGGAUUCUAUGGGCCAGGAAUUCAGACAGGGCACUGUGUUGAUGGCUUGUCUGUGUCCCGGCUGGAAUGGCUCAAAUGGUUGUGUGACUAUUUGACUUGAAAGGCUGGAGCCUGGAAUCAUUUGAAACAUUGUUCACUCAUGUGUCUGGCACCUGGGUUAGAAUGACUGAAGGCUACAUCAACUAGAGUACUUACAUCUGGUCUCUCCAUGUGACUUGGACUUUUCACAGCGUGGAGGCUGGAUUUCAAAGGUGAGCGUCUGAAGAGAGACCAUCUCAAGAGUUAACAUGCCAAGAGGGAGCUUCUAGAGAGGAGGUGUUCCAAGAGAAUCAGACAGAAGUUGUGUAGCCUUUUAUGACCUUACCUCAGAAGUCAGAGCUUCAUUUCUACUGUAUGUAUCCUAUUGAUCAAAGUAGACACGAGCCCACCCAGAUAAAAGGGCAGGGAACCUAGACCACAGUUCUUGAUGGAAGUAGUGUCAAAAAAAAAAAAAAAAAACUUGUAGUCAUUGUUUUAAACUACCACAGAUUGAAAUACUGUGGCUGAACAGGAAUGGGGAAGAUGGGAGAAGAUCAGGAGUUUGGUUCUAGACAUGCUGAGUUUCAGGUGCUUAUUGAUCCUCCGAGUGGAGAUAUCAAGUAGGCAUUUGUAUAUAUAAACUAGAGUUGAAAAGAUGAGUCUGGGCUCAGGUAUAAAUGUAAAGGUUGUCAGCCUAUGAGUAGGAUUUAAAGCCCAUGAUACUGGAUAAAAUCAUCAAGAAAGAGAAAGUAGAUAGAGAAAAGAAGAGGACAAAGAUGCCAGCAAGGGAGACAGAAGAACAACCAGUAAAGUUGCUCUCUUUUAGGCAGGAAGACACCAUAUCAGGAAAAAGAGAGUGAACAACUGAGUCAAUUGCUGCUGUUGGUCAAGUCAGAAGAAGACUUGGAAUUAACAUAAGAUCUAGCGUCAUGUUUGUGUUAUGUGUAAGAUAUUAACAUUGAUCGCAGAUGCACACAAUGUUUAUGAUCUGACUGAAUUCUUUAGUGGAAUCAUAAAAGUUCAACACACUCAGAUGUGUACAGUAGGUUAGUAGAGUUUGUAGGGAUAAUUAUUAUGGCAAUAUAUUUUAUAUUUCCUAAAUAACUUUAACUUGAAAAAUUCCUGUGAGGAUAGAGAUACUAAAGUACAGUGCAUGCUAUGUUUAGUCUCACUAUGCAAUUUAGUCUUCUUGUCUCUAAGAUUAGACUUCUAAACAUUCUUAAGAUUUUGAGAAAGAGAGGGAGAGAGAGAGAUACUCAUAUUAAUAGGAAAAAUUACCAAGAUAUGUCCUAAUUUUUAAACCAAAUAUUUUAAAAUAUUUUAGACAAACGUUUAUAUGUAGGAAUCUACUUCUAGAUUUAUUAGUCUUUGCUGAUUUAAAACUUUACAAAAUAACAAAUAAUAUCUUUCACCUUUUUAAAAACUAUUUUAAAAGAUUAAUGUAAGGUAAUUUAGUGCAAAAGACAAAUAUCAAUACCAACACCUAGUUUUAAGUUGGAAAAUGUGAAAUAAAAUCUUAUGUAAAAUACAUCAAUACCCAACAAUAUAAUAAUAAUGUAACAUAAAAUUACCAUGUCAUUGGUGGGACACACAAUUUACUAAAGUGUAAAAACCAUAACAUAACUCUUGGAAUCUCUAUAGAACUACAAAAUAUAGUUGAUGCUUGAACAAUGCAGGCAUUAGGAGUGGCAACUCCACAAAGUUGAAAAUCUGCAUAUAUCUUUAGACUCUCCAAAAACUUAACUUCUAAUAGCCUACCAUUGACCAGAAACUGUACUGAUAAUGCAGUAGAUUAGUGCAUAUUUUGUAUCUGCAUUAUGUACUGUAUUUUUAAAAUAAAAUAAUCUAGGGAAAAGUGAAUAUUGACGGGGCACGGUGGCUCAUGCCUGUAAUCCUAGCACUUUGGAAGGCUGAGGUGGGUGGAACACCUAAGGCUGGGAGUUCAAGAUCAGCCUGGCCAACAUGACAAAACCCCGUCUCUACUAAAAAUAUAAAAAUUAGCUGGGUUUGGUGGCAGGCACCUAUAUUCUCAGCUACUUGUAAGGCUGAGGCAGGAAAAUCGCUUGAACCCAGGGAGGCGGAAGUUGCAGUGAGCCGAGAUCACACCACUUCACUCCAGCCUGAGCAAAAGAGCAAGACUCCAUCUCAAAAAAAAAAAAAAAAAAGUGAAUGUUAAGAGAAUCAUAAGGAAAAGAAAAUAUAUUUACUACUCAUUAAGUGAAAGUGGAGCAUCCUAAAGAUCUUCAUCCUCAUCAUUUUCAGAUUGAGUAGGCUGAGGAGGGGGAAGAAGAAGAGGGCUUCGUCUUGCUGUCUCAGUGGUGGCAGAGGCAUAAGAAAAUCUUGGAUAAAUGGAUCCAUGCAGUUCAAACCCCUGUUGUUCAAGGGCCAGCUGUAUGCUUAAACACAUCCCUGGGGGUUGUAAAACUAAUGUUACUGUUGUUUUCAUUUUGCAAUUUUUCCAUUUUGAUAUAAAAGCAAAAGUACAGCUAAUCCAUGUACAAUUUAUUAUAGGCCAACUGAGAAUAGCAGAGGACUCAUCCCACCUUUCCCACAUGGUGACUUGCCCCACUCCCCCAGGUGACCUUGCUUGUGCAUGUGGAUAUUUGCUCAGAUUAGCAAUGUUUCCCACAAAAUUGCUUGCUCUCUUUCAUUCUGUCCGUGGUUGGUUGUGGUUUAUUUGUUGAUAACUGAGACUAUUUAAAAAUUGCCAAAACAAAAGCCAUUUCUUUUCUCCCCGAAUAGCCUCAUUUUUUCUAUUCCCUGUUUCCCCUCCUAUUACAUUUCCAGGGACUCUAAAACAGAGCUCAUGAUGGUUCAGGACCACGGAGAGCGCAAGGAAGGGGAACUACCGAAGCAUUUUAGUCCUGCGGGUGGGGAAAGAGAUGAUCCUAAAAUUGUUUUUAUUUUUUUGUUUUUUUUGAGAGGGAGUCUCGCUCUGUCACCCAGGCUGGAGUGGAGUAGCACGAUCUUGCCUCACUGCAACCUCUGCCUCCUGGGUCCAAGCGAUUCUAGCGCCUCAGCCUCCUGAGUAGCUGGGAUUACAGGUGUGCACCACCAUGCCCAGCUAAUUUUUUGUAUUUUUAGUAGAGACAGGGUUUUGCCAUGUUGGCCAGGCUGGUCUCCAAUUCCUGACCUCCAGUGAUCCACCCCCCUCAGUCUCCCAAAGUGCUGGGAUUACAGGCGUGAGCCACCACGCCCGGCCAAUCCUGAAAUUGUUGCUGGACAAUAUUUAUUUAAAAGACAUUAUUGUAAAGAGUAACAGUGGAAUUCUGGCUCCUUGAAAUUUGAGCGGAAUGAUUUUUCUGGACAUUCGGCCGGUGCUUUCUAAGUUUCUCCACUGAAUUCUAUCUAAUGACAGAUGAGAGGACACUGAAAGUAGGAGUAGCCAUAAGUCAUCAGUGCAAAAUGUCUUUUGAAGUUUGCAUUUAUUGAUUGCUACCAUUUAUGUAAAGUUUUACAGUUUUGACAGUCAUAGGGUGCACCAAUCCACCAUAGAAGAGAAUUAAGUCAUGCGGACACAGGAGGGUUUAGAAUGGAUGAGUAGAGGAGUGUGUGCAGGCUCCAAUCCCCAAAGUCUCUAGGACUGUCCUAGAACCUGCAGCUCAUCUGUUAAUUCUGUCAACUACCCAGGAUCCUCUCAAGAAUUAUCCCCCCACACCCACCUUUUAAAUUUCCUCGAGCUAGUUUCAUUUGAGUUUUGUCACUUGCAACUGAAUGAGCCCUGCUAAUGCAGAUAGAUUCAAUUGAGAAGGGGAAUUCUAGGCUAGGAGUACAAGGUUACAGGCAAGGAGACAGGAACAUAGCUUGGGAUUUCCUGGGGCAGUGAGAAAACUGACUUUAAAAAAAUGGAAUGGUUUCCAAAGUGUUUGUACAACUUUUCUGUAUGGCAAUGGGUAGGAGUAUAAAUUCUUUCAGCUUCUUCUGAGGGCAGUUGAACAAGAAGUAUAAAAAUUUUGAAUGCUGAUAGCAUUUGACCUAGCAAUUCCACCUCUAGAAAUAAAUUCUACAGUAGUAAUCUUAAAAACGUAUUCACUGAAAUGUUAUUUUAUCAUAGAAAAUGUCGAAACAGCAUACGUGUCCAUCAAUAGAGAACUUGCUAAAUGAUUUAUACUAUCUUUACAUAUUGAAAUAUGCAUAGCCAUGGAAGAUAAUUUAGUAGAUCUAUAUGUCCCAUUAUGGAACAAUCCCCAUGGGGGGAAAAAAGUAAGGUGCAGAACUGUAUCAUAGAUGUUCUCUCUCUCUGUCUCUCUCUUUUUUUUUUUUUUUUGGAAAGCACAUGUAUGCUUUUAUAGACACAGAAAAAUUCUAGAAUGGCAAACAAGAUAUCUUUGCAAUAGUUUUUUUCUGGGAGGGGAUUCAUUUAAAAAAAAUUCUCCCAUAUUGCUUGUUUUGUUUUGUUAAACACAUCCAUGUAUUCCUACUUGGGUUAAGCCAUGAUAACUAAAUAUGAUUAAAGUACAGAACAAUAAAAACGUUAGAGAUGUAUACGUAAAUAUCACUUCCUUAGGAAUUUCUAGGUAGGUACUAUUUUAAGCCCUCUACAUAUAUUAUUUCAUUCAAUCCUUGGAGCAACUCUAGGAGGGAGGUGUUAUCCUCUAAUUGCAGAUGAGCUUGAUGAAACUUAAAGAGUAAUGAUGCCUUGAGUCCAUCCUCUGGCUCCAAAGCCCUUGUAUUUAACUGUUCUCCCUUUUGCAUCCCUGUGCUAAGGUGACUUUGCUAUAAUAUCCACAAGGAAGAAUUUCUGUGUAAAAACUAGAUUUCCUUGCAGGCAGUCUAUCAGUGAUAUCCAAUAAAGACUCAAUAAUGGCUAACAAUACAAACCACACACACAAGAAAAACUUCUCCUUUUGUACCAGGUACUUAGAUUAGGUGCAGUGGUUUUCUUAAACUGAUUAUCAAGGUAAACACCGCCUCACACAUUUCAGCAGAGAGCAGUGGUUUCUCUCUCCAGCAGUGGGAGCCAUUGAAUCAGGACAAUGCCACACAGUUGGGCUUUCAUGUUAGAUAGAUCACUCUUGUGGUUUUAGGGGAUGGCAUUAUAAGAGAGGAGAUUGGAGACAGGGGGGCUAUUGUCAUGCAGAUUUGUUGGAUGUCCACCCAGCAUUCACUUUUUCCAUCUUUUGCCAGGAAUACACUACAUAGUAUCACCAGUCAUUUUAUAGAAUGGCAAUUAGAUUAGGCUUAUGUCUGCACUGCCUUACUUCACUCAGCUCUGUCACUUGCCAUCACUGCAAAUGCCGACAACUUAGUGCCUUUCAUGCUUCAAGUAUCAAUAAGAUAGGAAUAGUAAUAGUAUCACAUUGAAUUAUUGUGGAGUUUUGAACAGAUGAUACUUCUGUUAUCGUGCUCAAUAAAUAUUAGCUGUCUUCCUCCUUAUUGUUGUUGUCCUCAACUAUGUAUUUUAAAUGGGAUUAGUCACACCACUCCUCAUGUACCCCACCCAUUAAUACCUGACUCCUUUGCAAAACAAAGCUUAGCAUAUAGUGGUGGGGAUUACAAAAUCGUUACAGAAAUUUCAUAUGUAAAGAAGAGGCAAGAGUUGGCCAGUUUGACACUUCCUUAACCUAUUUUAUUUUUCUUAAAUAUUACAAUAUCACCAGAUAUACUUUCUAUUUAUUUCCUCUCUGAGAGUAUGCAAUUUGUCUGAUUUGUUGGUUUUUGGGUGAGUGAUAAAUACGAGUUCAAUAAAGGGGGUGAAGAAAUCAUUCCAUGAGUGGGACUGCAUGAACAAUGGAGAAAAGUCAUGAAGGAAAGAUGACAUUCCGUGUGGACUGGAGUAAAGUGAACAUGAUGCCUUGUCUAUAAAGGGGAUCAUACAUUUAAAGCAUUCAGCAACCUGUAACCAACACAACAGUCAUUCCAAGAAGAAGAGAGUAUGAGCUUUUAGAGGGGAAGAAAAUACACAUUGGUGAUGCAGGUGGCCAAGACAGGUGCUGCACACACUGGAUUACAGCAUGGAAGAGGAGCCCAGGGUCAUGGAGGCACCCAGCAAGUGGCAAAAUAUGGGCACCUUGACCUACUGGGUUGCCUAUGUGACCAGCUACAGAAGCUACUCAGUAUCAGGAGCUGGAGCUGCCUGCAAUCUGGCCACUCAGCAAGAAUUUUCAGAGACUGUUUCUAUCCCAUAGUGGAUGCUCCUUCCAACACCAUUCUUUUAAAGUGCGCACAUCUGAUCACUUUCCAAGUAUAAAUGGCCUGAAUUUAUUUUCCUUUGUUUACCAAAAUCCAACCUAAGUAAUUUUUUUCUUUCCAUACUCCUUAUUCAUGAACCCUAAUUGUUGGUAACUUUGAGAGCACUGGUCGUCUUAAUUUCUUACCACUAAUGACAUGACAGGUCAAUUUCUGUAAUAAGUACAGCUGAAAUUAUUUUUCUAUCUUCUAACAUAAUAUUUUGUCUUGAAUGCUUUGCUAGAAUCUUCCUUCUGGAAUCCCACUUUUUAUGU